UAAUCUGAUUGCUCUCAACUCUAGUAAGUUUAUGUGGAGAAGCCUUUCUUGAACUGACCAAACUCCUCUUAUCAUGACUUGGACAUGCCUUUGACAAAGAAAGCACCCCAUCCCUUAGAAGAAGCAUCUGUGGUCAAGGAUAACUCGAAAGGUCCUUUCAGAAGGGGGCAAGGAAGUGGACUUGUCCCUUCCAAUAUCUUGUUUAGCUCAUUUCUAACACUCGUGGGAAGGACCACGCUUGACUCCCAC